rnacentral:rRNA from 1 species
CAAGCGGUGGAGCAUGUGGUUUAAUUCGAUGCAACGCGAAGAACCUUACCUACUCUUGACAUCCACGGAAUUCGGCAGAGAUGCCUUAGUGCCUUCGGGAACCGUGAGACAGGUGCUGCAUGGCUGUCGUCAGCUCGUGUUGUGAAAUGUUGGGUUAAGUCCCGCAACGAGCGCAACCCUUAUCCUUUGUUGCCAGCGAUUCGGUCGGGAACUCAAAGGAGACUGCCGGUGAUAAACCGGAGGAAGGUGGGGAUGACGUCAAGUCAUCAUGGCCCUUACGAGUAGGGCUACACACGUGCUACAAUGGCGCAUACAAAGAGAAGCGACCUCGCGAGAGCAAGCGGACCUCAGAAAGUGCGUCGUAGUCCGGAUCGGAGUCUGCAACUCGACUCCGUGAAGUCGGAAUCGCUAGUAAUCGUGGAUCAGAAUGCCACGGUGAAUACGUUCCCGGGCCUUGUACACACC